CAGUCGAGCGAAUGAAGAGGAAGCUUGCUUCUUCUGAGUUAGCGGCGGACCGGUGAGUAACACGUGGGCAACCUACCUUGUAGCCGGGGAUAACUCCGGGAAACCGGGGCUAAUACCGAAUAAUCAGUUGUACCUCCUGGUACAACUCUGAAAGACGGUUUCGGCUGUCACUACAAGAUGGGCCCGCGGCGCAUUAGCUAGUUGGUAAGGUAACGGCUCACCAAGGCAACGAUGCGUAGCCGACCUGAGAGGGUGAUCGGCCACACUGGGACUGAGACACGGCCCAGACUCCUACGGGAGGCAGCAGUAGGGAAUCUUCCACAAUGGACGAAAGUCUGAUGGAGCAACGCCGCGUGAGUGAAGAAGGUUUUCGGAUCGUAAAACUCUGUUGUAAGGGAAGAACAAGUACGUGAGUAACUGCACGUACCUUGACGGUACCUUAUUAGAAAGCCACGGCUAACUACGUGCCAGCAGCCGCGGUAAUACGUAGGUGGCAAGCGUUAUCCGGAAUCACUGGGCGUAAAGGGUGCGUAGGUGGUUUUGUAAGUCUGAGGUAAAAGGUCACGGCUCAACCGUGGUAAGCCUUGGAAACUGCAAAACUUGAAUGCAGGAGAGGAAAGUGGAAUUCCUAGUGUAGCGGUGAAAUGCGUAGAUAUUAGGAGGAACAUCCAUGGCGAAGGCAGCUUUCUGGACUGUUAUUGACACUGAGGCACGAAAGC
rnacentral:rRNA from 1 species